rnacentral:ncRNA from 1 species
AAAACAGGGGAGCUUUCUGCUGAGAUUAGCCUUACCGGCUUAAACCCUUUACCUGACACGGAUAAUACCGGCGUAGGGAGUUUUACAUA